AUAUUAAUACUAGAUCCAGAAUCUAGCAUAGUUCUUCCUAUAUCCACAUCAUUAAUAACACAUGGAAGAGUCAAACUCCCUAGAUCCUUCAUCUUGAGCGAAUGCUUUCUCUUUUUAGGUCGGAUACAGACUUCCUGUUCUUCUUCAUCAAGAUCUAUCACCUCUCCAAGAUAAUACUUUAUUCUCUUGGAGUAAAUAGGAAUCUGCUGAAUCAUUGAAGGUACAAUAGUCACUUGAUUGAAAAUGUCUUUAAACUGUCCAUUGUGACCAUCUUUUCUCUCUUCCUCUUCUUCUCCCUCACUACUUUCCAACUCAAUAAGCUAUUUUUCUUCUUCCUCCUCCUCACUACUAUCAAUUUCCAUAACUUCCUCUUCUGCUCUCCUUUUGCUCCUAGUUACAGCAGCUUUGCAUCCUUCUUUAGGGUUAACAUCUGUAUUAGCCCUAAAUUGGUUUUUCUCUGUGUUUUCAACCCUCUUUGACAAUUGCCCAAUCUGCAUCUCCAAAGUUCUUAAAUUGUCCUGGUUACUCACAUAGUGAGAGUCAU
rnacentral:lncRNA from 1 species